ensembl:lncRNA
GUAAACAAUAAGAGCAUAAUGAAUCACACUUCGACAGUUGUAGUUUUUAUGUGUGCUGAAAAAAAAGUGGAAGUGGUGCAAGAGGAAGGAAUAAGAGCUUGAGAUGAAGUCGGGUGUGUGCUUAUCCAAAAGACUCGGAAAAACGGAAGCUCCACUAGUGUUUUUGGCUCGUUUUCCCUCUUCUGUCACUGGAUUGAUUUCAUAAGAACCUGAGCAGUGAGUCAGACAGCUGGACUUUAUGACUCACUCAAACUCAAAGUCUGCAAGAUCCAUAUCUGAUCCAUGUCUCCAUGGCUGCGUUUGGACAGAAACACUAGUUCAGUACUAACUGAAUAUAUCUUUUUUUAGUUUAGCAGACACUUUAAGAAAAAGUGAGUUAUAAAUGAGUAAGAAAACAUGAUUCAUCAUGAGGCAACUCUUAGUUUUGACGUGAUGUAACACCAGUCUGGAGACAAAUCAAAUCUUCACUGUGCUGCCUCUGCCAGUUAUUUUUUUUUUCUCCAGGAUUGUGGUAAGCACUAAUGUACUGAGACCAUGAUAUUAAAAGAGCACAUUCAGUAUACACAUUAUUGAUAAUGCA